AUCAGCUGUGACAGUUUCACUUCUAGUGCCAAGUGCCUUUGAUGAUCAAGUGCUUUCAACAAUACACAAAACACAUUUUCGAUUUCGAUCUUGCAGGCAUUUCGGCCAAACAGCUAAACGGCUAAACGCAGACAAGUGCAUACACAUACAUAUGCACACAUAUGUAUGUGUGUAUUUAUAAAAUAGAAUUUCAAGGCAUACUCUUACGCGCGCGAGUGUCAAUGACAGACCUUUAACAAUGUCGGCAACGCGUGACGAUUUUUCGCUACUCAUGCACUUAAUAUAGUAUUUUCUGUAGUACAGCGUGCAGUUGUUUUACACUUCACCAAGUGAUUUAGUUAUUUAAUGUUGCUGCGGAAGUGGUGCGAAUAUUCAGUUUAUGCGAAAUAAAUGUUAAUUUUACAUGAGUCGCUCAAAACAAUUUAUGUGACAUGUGAAAAAGUUAUAAAUUUCUGUUUACCGUGAAAUAAAGACGAGUUUAAUUGCAUAAUACGAAAAUAUUUAAAUACAAUUAAGACAAAAUUUGCAAAAAUGUCUUCGAUGAUUGUUCGCGUGUGGAAUAGUAAUGAAUAAACAACAAGAAUUACAAAAAGAAAUCAUAAAAUAAAUUAUAAUAAAUGAAAGCGCACCGUUAGUGUAGAGUUGUAGAGAUUCGAAAGCGUUGACUAUCUAUCCAAGCUAUUUAUCCAUCUGUCUGAAAAUAAAAAAGAAAAAUUCGAUUUAUGUAUAACUACCUAUCUCAACAACAUAGCUCGUCACUACAAUCACACCACCCAACUGUGCAGUGCUUUUAAAACUGAAAACUUGUCCAUAAACGGCAAAAUCAGCAACUCAGCAACGACAUCAACACCAAUAACAAAUCACCACUAGAACUGCUAAUGCAACGAAACGCCCGGAAAUAGGCCGACCCUUUCCGGUAAUUAGUUUCAAUUGCAAUAGUAAACAUACGCCACGAAACGACACGCACCUGCCGGUAACACACAUACAAGCACACAACUAUAGCACAAUACAGCAAUACACAAACUACUACACAUAAAUUUGAACUAAAGCACUCAAAAUGAAUUUGAUGUUUCGUAAGCAUUUUCGCGAAGGUGGAGGUGGAAAGUCGGGUGGCGGCGGUAGUAAGCUGCAACCGAAGGCCAAUCGUACGAAACGAUCACGCGACAUGGGCGCUCAACAGGAGGAUAUCCAUUAUCGGACACAUUUAUUUUUUGCACCCAGUCGUCCCGGAGUGGAGGUGGGGGAAGAACUCAUUGCAGAAAGGUGCACUGCCUUUUCGGGUGCGUGCACACAGUUAUCGACCACCACAACAUCACUUUCACUUCCACCUCAGCCCUAUGAAGUGGAGGCACCGCAGCCCCUUGUCGAUCGCAAGCCGUCCAUAUCUCUAUUAAGAUGGAACAAUAGUGUUAGAGUACGGAAUGGUCAGGUUGCCACGGUGCUAUCGAAUGCAGCAGCAACAACAACGGCCCGCUUUCAAGCUGCCAGGCAAGUGAGUUUUGGUGGCGACAAUGCUGCUGGCACAUCGGGCGCAAUCCGUUCCGAACCGAUUUCGUUGUCAGCGUUGGAUCGUGAUUGUUUCAUUAUACCAGUGCACAGUGUCGAUCGUUUUCUGCCAGCGGGUAUACCGUUGCCCGCCCCAUCUUCCGAUGGUAAAACCAAUAGUCCUCUUAGCAUACUCGAGGUCUCUGAUCCCAAAUUAUGUAUACUCGUGCAUCUAAUGAGCCCUUUGGAACCCAUUGAUCCAAUGCUCGAGUCACCAUUGUCACACCCAUUGCUGAAGCAACGCGCUGUGGCAGCGGAGCUCGUAUCGGAGGUGCAGCAGGCGAAUACGGCGGUCGGUGGCAUGCUCUUGGCCAAUAUGGAGAAGAACGCGGACUUUCCAUUCAUCUCUUACUAUUUAAUCAACACUACGCAAACGGAUCCAUCGCACUUUUACUCAGGCAUACGCGUCUCAUCACUAUCGAAAUUCGAGCCGAAAGCACUAAAAUAUACUGCCGCUCAUACUCUGGAUCUGUACAGCGAAGUAGCUGCCAUAUGCCGUCCACCGUUGGUGUUGGCGCCCAAUGAAAGUGGUGGCUUCAAGAAGACACAAACGCCAGCAACAGGCUAUAUAAUCAGCGUGUUUAAGGUUUUCGAAGGUGAUGAUGGUGAACGGUUCGAGAAGAAUUGGCUGUACUGGACGGGGGCACGAAUGUUGUAUCGAUAUUUGCCACGUGCUGCUGGCCUACGUCGCAUUGCACUGCAUAAAAGCACUUCACAAAGAGGUGAUAAAAUGUAUUUGUUGGUAUGCGAAUGUGCUGACUUGCUCAAGGAUAUCUCUUCAGCUGCCUUUUUGAUUCCUGCAUUGCGAGCGCGCCUCUGCGGCUAUACAGGACUUUACAAGCCAAUACAAGUGUUCUAAGGAUAAGCAUAAAAAGCAACAUCAACAAAAAUAGCAACCAACCGAGUAUAGCGGCUAGAAAACUGAGGCACAAAACUAAUGGAUUAUGUAAUGGACUUAUGUAGUAUGUAAUGUAAUAAAACUCGAGGAAGUAACAAAAAAAGUGAAAAUCGCGAUUUGCAUAAUUUUUACCCUAUUAUUUAAUGCAACAUCGCCUAGAAUCUCUAAUCUGACCUAUGGCAAUCAAUUCAAUUCAUUUAAAAAAACUGAAUUCAUACGAAAUAUUACAAUUAAAAGCUGUGAUAACUCAGCCGCCUCAGAGGGGAGAAAUACUACAUAAAUAAUCAAUCGUAUCUAAUACUUAAGUAAAUAUGUAAAAAGAAAAUAAUUAAACUUAAUUUCAUACAUUUACUGCCACUGAAGGAUAGUUUACUGAAAGUUUGUUAAUGAAUGAAAUUGGCCUGAAUAAUGGUGCUCUUAAAUCUACGAUACACCCUAUACAUGCAUGCAUGGUAUGACAUGUUCAUACAGCUAAAAAAUACUUCGAUAUUAGAAUAAUGUAAACAAAUAAAAAUAUUAGUGUGAAAGAAAUAAAAGAUUAAGAAAUUAAAACAAAAAGAGAGCAGCAAUUUCCCAAACGUUGUCAUUAGGGCGAGUUUACAAAGACCGUCAAUUAAUCGAUGGCCAUUAGCAAAAUUGUUACGCAUUCGCGCUCGAUUGCCAACCCACUCACUGUUUGGCACUGAUUCCCAAAUUUACACCUUAUCUGCAUGCAAACUCGUCUUAAAAUUAAUAUAGAAUUUUUAAUUAGUUUUUAAAAAUUAUUAGUAAAAGUUUAUGAAGAGUUUUGGGUUAUCGAUCAUCAUCAGCAAAUAUUAUAUAGUAAAGUAAUUUGAGUAAAACAUUUGAAUUAUUAAUCAUUAUUAAUUCCUAGAGUUCCAAGUUGGAAAAUAGGGCCACGAAAUAUGAAUGGACAUUAAGAAUGUGAACCGUGAGCAUAACUAAAUAUCGCCAGAAACUAUACCAAUAUAAAAAAUAAAAUAAAUAAUCCGCAAGGUGCAAAUACCUAUUGAGGCAAACUAUUUUUUUUUUCUUUAUAGAAUUAAGGCACUGCGAAGAAGAAUAGCUGGACAAUUUCUUGUUGAAUUGAUUAAUAAAUUAGUAGAGGGAAAAAGGCAAUGAGUGUUGCUCACAACCGUUUCGUGACUGUUUUGUUCGGGUUUGACUGUUUUCUUUGAAGCUUUACAGCAAGAAUAGUUGAUCAGUAAAUGAUUUUAAGACUUGAUGCAGAGAGACUCGGUUGAAAAUUUUUUGCUAUAGAUACGAAUAAAUUAAUUUGGCAAAAACAGAAAUUAUUUUAAUUACUUUCGUGUAAUAAAUCUACAAUUUAGAUAAAUAAAUAAAGAAGUGAACCAGUAAAGGAAUUAACAAAAAUUAGAAGAGAGUUAGUUUUCACAACAAAGGAUUAAAUGAAGACUCUCGGAAUGGCUUCUUUGUCGUAGAAAUAAAUUUUGAUUCCCUUAACAAUUGAAAAUUAAAAAAAUUAGUGGUUAUAAAGAAAUAAUACUUUCAAUAAACAAAAAAUAUUAAUAAUUGCGAAAAUACAGAAUAAGUAAAAACAAAAACAAAAAAAAAAUGCUGUGAUAAACAAACCAAAAAUCAAUUACGCAAUAUAUGCGGGCACAAGUGCUAUACUCAGAGAAAAACCAUUAAGCUGCAAUUUCAAAUUAAGCAAAGUAUAUUUAAACUAAGGCGAUCAAUAGAAAACUACAAAUUUAAACAAUUUUAAAAUUUAAACUUAAAAAUUAUAAAAUAUUAAUAAAAUAAAGCGCUAAGUUUUAUAAUAAAAAUCUGAAGGCGGAUAAAAUGCAAUAUAUUGAAAAAGCUAGAAAAGUAGCAUACACUUACAAAUUAAAUACAAUUUUCUAAAAAAAAUCAGUUAUGAGAAAAUACAAUCAAUAAGACAACAAAGCUAGAAAUAAAAAAUAGCUGCUGCAUACUUUUUUGAAUCAAAUUAAAAAAUGCUCAAAAACUGUAGGUAUUAAAGCAGUAUGUGACUAUUUCACAUUUCACCAUACAUUUUUAUUAGUAACUUUAAAGUAAGCUUUUUUUUAAUUUAGUGUGCCCGAAAUUGACUUUAAAGCAAUGCUCCAUUGGACUUUUCUUCUAAGAGCUCUAUGUAGAAUCCGCGUCUGCUAGGAACGAUGUCGAGAGAAACCGUUUCAUACAAAUUGAGAUACCCUAAUGCACAUCUGUUUGUAAGUUUACAAGUCUAUUACGUAAUUAUUUGUUUAAAAAAUGUAAGUAGACUCUUAUUAAAACUUGCAGUAAUAUUCUUUUAUCAUAAAAGUUUUUUCCUAAAUUGGCAUUGUUUGAUAGUGGCUAAUCCAAUUGGCCCAAAGUAACAAAAAUAAUUUAAUUAACGCUCUUUAUUUUAACUAAGAAAAAGCGUUGAUGUCCGGUGCCAAUCGAGACUACUCCCAAACUCCUUACGAUGAUCCCUUCCUUGACCCGGGGUGAAGGGCAAAUCACGCAAAAAUUAUAGGAGGUGGCGUACCCUAUUGUUGGCAAUGCAGAUGUACUAAAAGCUGCGCACAUGGCAAUGACGAUGAGCGAAGUGAUAAUAGCGAAAACUACAAAUAAGCGAAAAGCGAACAAGCGAUAAGAAAAAUGUGAGCGACAAGCAAGACAGGGAGGAUUUUCGAAAUGGUGACAAAACAAAUGAAAGGGAGUAGGGUGAAAACGUAGAAUAAUAAUCCAGAAAUAUAGAACCUAAUCUUAAUAUAAUCUUAAAAACUGGAAAUUAGGUUUGGCUUAGAAAAAAAAAAAUGUAAUAAUAAUUAAAAUGUUGUAAUUUUUUUGAAUCAUUAGUUAUAUUUAAUUAGUUAAUGAACGGAUACAUUUUAUUAAAAGUAUGAUUUAAAAUUGCGCAAAAGUUUUUUUUACCAAGCUCAAGUCAUAAAAGUGCAAACCUGUGUACAUGAAAAGAUGGUGAAAAGAUUUUUAAAGAUGUACUAUCAGCAGCCCGUUAUUCGGCUAUGAGCGAAUUUGACAGAUAUGCCAACGUCACUCGUUUUGUGUUUCACUAAGCUAAAGCUAAGUUUUGUGAAACACAAAACGAAUGACGUAGAAUACAAAGUUCCAAAAAAAUUUUUUUUUCACCAUACCUAACGAGCAAACCUGGUAUCUAUCACCCUUGCAUAUAAACCUUAAACUAAAAGUUUUGAUUAAUUUUAAUUAAUUUAAAAAUCUCAAGUAGUUUCAUACUGAAAAUUGCAGUAGCAAUAAAAAUUUAUGCACGCAAUUUUUUAACAAGGAAGAAGCAGCAUAUACAUAUACAGUUUGUCAAGGAAGUGUUUUGACAUCUACUAAUUAGUGAAAUUCGGACAUAUUGUCAUGGGUAUCCUUCAAUAUUUGGUUUUAUUUGACUAAUAUAAAUAAUUUAUAAGUCAAUAGCAGAAAAAUACAGUUAUUUCUUUUAAAAAUAACACAAAAAUUAAAAACAAAAACCUAGAGAGCUGUGUUAGAAAUCUUUUUACAUUUGCAGUAAAUAGCUUUGAGUUAUAUUUAUAUGUUUUAAAAAAUGAAAUAUGAAUCAGUACUUUGUAUAGGUUAGUCAUAGAAGCAUGUAUCUUCUUAUAGGAUGUAUCAAAUUUCGAACAUCAUAGUUUUGGGGUAACAUCGCUCUAAAAUAACGUUUUGAGCUCUGCUGGACCUUUGGAGUGUCUUUUUGCAACUUUUUUCUUUAAAUAUGCUCAUAAACUUUGUAUUGAAUUAAUAUCCGUGCUUUGAACUGGUGCAUCCAAUACUUUUUUUCCUUUUUCACUACUCUCGGGAGCAUAGGGCCUCGACAAGAUUAAGUCUUGCGUUGGUUUCGUUAAUCUAUUUUGAUUUCUGACGGGGUAGGUGAUUAGCCUGCCGCUAUCAGUCCUAAAUAGUGGGAAUGCACACCUGUCGUUGCUUAGGAACAACGCCUUCUUACUGCUUUGGAGCGCCAUCUGUGUUUCAUAUUUUUCUCCCAGAAGGAUCGCACAGAUGUUUGAGAACUUCGCUAAAUUUGGUGCGAAUACGCUAUUUCCGCGGUUGCUCGCUUCCUCUUGCUGGCCCCACUGAUGCAAUGUGUAACUAUGUGUUGUUUUCUUUGUGUUUGCUUACUACAAUCCUUUACUGACAUAAAAAGAAACCACAUUCUGACCAUAAGAUCCAUAAGUUUUUGAUCGUUGACCUAGUAGAAUUUAAACUGGGACUUGUUGUCAACAAUAAAGUCAAAUUUUGUUGUACUGUUUGUAUUGUCAUGCAUCCAUUUUAACUUCUAAAGAGUGAACAAUUUAGAGAUAUCGGAUUUUGAAUUGAAAUAAAACAAAGAAAAUUCAAAUUUAUUGGACAAUCUUUUUUAUUAUUUUUGUGUAGAACCAUUCAUGACAUUUAAAUUUUAAUAUUCAAAUGUUGGCCGCAACUGCACCGUAAUUCGGCCAUCCCUAAAAAAUCCAAAUUUGAAUGACUCGCUGGAGGACUUUGGUCAGUAUCUCGUGAGUAAAAAUAGUAAUGUUGACUCUCUUGCUGGAUAUGCCUGCCUACACCAUUACUGAAAGUUUGCCAUAUUUCACUAUGGGUGUAAUAUUCCGCCUUUUCAGUGUUUGUAUUGGCUGCCUCCACCUUCUGUUGAGUCCAUUGUUGUAUUAAAGUAUGAUUUUAGUCUCAUCGCAGAAUAUCACAUCGUUCCAGUUGUUAUCUGGUUGAGCUAUGUAGGUACAUUCUAGCGAAAGAUAACCGCUUUUCAAUGAGCUGCUCAGAGAGCAAAAACCUCUUUCGAGCAACUCUUCAAUUAUAUUUGUACUUUGGCAAAACUUGGCGGACUGUUUCACGAAAACGUCGGCCCUACACUCGUCUUUAAGCUCACUAGCAAGAUUUCUUGUCGAUUCCUGCGCGAGUGCGGCAACUUUACUCAGCAGAAAACGUUCGGCGCGGUCGGAUAUUUGAUGUUCUCCACUUGCAGAUUUUGUCUGCAACCUAUUUUCAUUUUUUGCACGAUUAAUUAUGUCAAAAAUAGUUAGCUGGGUUAAAUAAAACAUUUCUGACACCUAUUGCUGUUUGUGUAUAUUUAUUAUAGGUAUGUAUAUUUUUUGUAAUUCACGCACGAUUUGAUAUUUUGAUUAAAAAUUUACUCAAACGUUUACUUUAUGUCUGAUUGAUGACUAACGCGUGGGCAGCAACUUAGGGAAAUAACGGUACAUCAAAUCAUCUUUGCAAACGAUGCCAGAAAUAUAUUACUUUGACUAAUGGUAAUGCUAAUGGAGCCAAGAAUUCUGUGUCUCCUGUAGCCUAAUGCCUCACAGUUGGUGAUUAAGUGUUCCAUAGACUCCUCUUCAUCACAGCAGAAACCGCAUAAUCUUGUAGUAGGUAAUCCUAUUGUGUUAAAGUGACCUGCAAGUGCUCCACAGAGUAAUCUUAGGCCCUUUUUAUCUACAGCUAGAGCAGAUUUUGCUCUGUUGGCAUUGAAGUUCAAAAACAUUUUGGAGUGAUUAAGGCCGCUUGUGCCGUUCCAGUGUUCCCUGAUUUUAUAAUAGUUUUGAUACAUUUUUUGGUUUCCUGUAUUAUAUAAUUUUUGUUAAAGCCGAAAAAUGGGGUUGGUCCAAUUAAUAGCCUUUCUGCCCCUUUUUUGGCAUAAAAGUCUGCCUUCUCGUUUCCUUCGUGUCUCUCAUGCCCUGGUACCCAAAUCAGUGAGACCUGAUUAUGAGUGGCCAGUUUGUUGAGUGCACUGUUACACUCUAUAAGGACUUUUGACUUGAAUGUGAAGCUAUUCAAGGCUUUGAGAACCGAUUGGCUCUCCGAAAGUAUGUUAAUUUUUACUUUCUCAAAUCCUCUUUUGGAUAUGAUUUCCACUGUUUCCGUUAUGGCGAAGAGCUCCGCAUGGAAAAUUGUGGUAUCUGUAUUUAGUGUUAGAGAUUUGUGUGCUCUAGGCCCUACUAUUCCUGCACCCACUCCUUGGAGCGUUUUGGAACCAUCUGUGUACCAUUUUUGUGAGUCAUCAUUUAUUCAUGGUGGGUUAGUGUUCCACUCUUCUCUAUACGGGAGGAUAACCUUGUAUCUCUUUAUAAAAUUGAGUACGGGUUCCGUGUGGUCAUUCGCCUGGGUUAUGCAUAGUGCAUGUUGAACCCUGCUCAAGUUAUUGAUGUGUACAGUAAGAUGUCCUGGUUUAAGUUUAGGUGUCCUGGUUUUAAAGAGAAUGCAUGCAUAGUAGCUUCCUCUUGUAUUGCGAAAUAUAGCGGUGGUAAAUUUAAAACCGCUUCAAUGUCAGCAGUUGGUGUAGUUCUCAGGGUCCCUGUUUUGCUUAGGCAUGUCAGCCUUUGUAGUUUACACAGUUUUGAUAUAGCAGUAGUUUGAUUGGUUUUAACCCACCAUACCAAAGCCCCAUAUAGUACAAUAGAUCUUACCAUUUUGAUGUAGAUCCAGAAGGUCAUUUUAGCGUUCGAACCUCAGGAUUUUCCCAAGAGUUGUUGUGUUGACAAAAGGUUUUUCGUUGUCUUUUAUUAUUCUAUUAAUGAGUUGAGGUGGACCUCCCAAGUGAGUUUUUUAUCCAAAAUAAUUCUUAGAUAUUUAACCGCUUCCUUUAGAGGUACCUCUAUUUCAUUUAUUCCCAAGAUGGGCAUAUUUAGAACCCUUUUUCUGGUAAAUGGAGUAAUAGUGGUUUUGGAAGGGUUGAUUGAUAAUCGCUCUUUUCUACACCAAUCCCAGGUUAUAUUUAAGGCAUCCUGCAUUAAGUCCUUAAUGGUCCUUUCGUGGUUGCCUCUAAUUAUUGCAGAAAUGUCAUCUGCUUACCCUAUUGUUUUAUACCCUUUAUUGUUAGGGGCUAGUACCAAAUCGUCAGCCAGGUUAGACCAGAGCAAUGGCGAUACUAAGUACGUUAAUGAAAUAAUUUUGAAAAGCUCUCCAAGUUCAAUAAGAAGUGUUGGCCUGAGUUAAAAAAGUGCAAAUAACUUGAGAAUUUUAGUAUAUCAAAACACUUUCUUGAUAAACUGUAAAAAGGUGAUAACAAUACACCCAAAAAAAAAAAUUAAAAUGCUUGCCUAAUUUCUAUCGUUAGAAGCAAAAUCAAAUCCAUACCAAUUAAAAAAAUAUAGCAAUAAUAUUGCCGCCUGUCCAGUAAUCUGCUUGCCACCACUGUACCGCACCGCCUAUCCAAAUUAAGUCAGUCACAUGCGAUUUCUAAAAAACGGUAAAUGCACUUUUCCUACUUCUGAGCAACUCUGCAUUGUAACUAACGUCAAACAAAACGAUUAAUGGCGAUAUCAAAUAAAUAGCGUAUCAAAUAAGUCAAAUCUACUACUUAGUAUGUAUUUAGUAGUAAUCAAGUACUUUCUUUUAUUAGCUAUAGAACCAUAAAAAAGUGAAUUAACAAAACCAUUAGCUAAAAACUAUGAUUGAAAAAUAAAUUUUAAGCAAAAUAA